rnacentral:rRNA from 1 species
GUAGGUAAAACUCGUGCCAGCCACCGCGGUUAUACGAUGAAGCCCAAGUUGUUAGCCUUCGGCGUAAAGAGUGGUUAGAGUACCCCAACAAAACUAAGGCCGAACACCUUCAGGGCAGUCAUACGCUUUCGAAGGCAUGAAGCACACCAACGAAAGUAGCCUUACCAGACUUGAACCCACGAAAGCUAAGAUACAAACUGGGAUUAGAUACCCCACUAUG